rnacentral:rRNA from 1 species
CAGUAGCCGCGGUAAUACGGAGGGUGCAAGCGUUACUCGGAAUCACUGGGCGUAAAGGACGCGUAGGCGGAUUAUCAAGUCUCUUGUGAAAUCUAACGGCUUAACCGUUAAACUGCUUGGGAAACUGAUAAUCUAGAGUAAGGGAGAGGCAGAUGGAAUUCUUUGUGUAGGGGUAAAAUCCGUAGAUAUCAAGAAGAAUACCUAUUGCGAAGGCGAUCUGCUGGAACUUAACUGACGCUAAUGCGUGAAAGCGUGGGGAGCAAACAGGAUUAGAUACCCCGGUAGUCCCUGUCUCUUAUAC